rnacentral:rRNA from 1 species
AUGAACGCUGGCGGCGUGCCUAAUACAUGCAAGUCGAGCGAACGGACGAGAAGCUCGCUUUUCUGAUGUUAGCGGCGGACGGGUGAGUAACACGUGGAUAACCUACCUAUAAGACUGGGAUAACUUCGGGAAACCGGAGCUAAUACCGGAUAAUAUUUUGAACCGCAUGGUUCAAAAGUGAAAGACGGUCUUGCUGUCACUUAUAGAUGGAUCCGCGCUGCAUUAGCUAGUUGGUAAGGUAACGGCUUACCAAGGCAACGAUGCAUAGCCGACCUGAGAGGGUGAUCGGCCACACUGGAACUGAGACACGGUCCAGACUCCUACGGGAGGCAGCAGUAGGGAAUCUUCCGCAAUGGGCGAAAGCCUGACGGAGCAACGCCGCGUGAGUGAUGAAGGUCUUCGGAUCGUAAAACUCUGUUAUUAGGGAAGAACAUAUGUGUAAGUAACUGUGCACAUCUUGACGGUACCUAAUCAGAAAGCCACGGCUAACUACGUG